rnacentral:rRNA from 1 species
UACGUAGGAGGCGAGCGUUGUCCGGAGUUACUGGGCGUAAAGGGUGCGCAGGCGGCUUAUCAAGUCAGGCGUGAAAUUCCCGGGCUCAACCUGGGGGCUGCGCUUGAUACUGAUGAGCUUGAAUGCGGGAGAGGAUAGUGGAAUUCCCAGUGUAGAGGUGAAAUUCGUAGAUAUUGGGAAGAACACCGGUGGCGAAGGCGGCUAUCUGGCCCGUAAUUGACGCUGAGGCGCGAAAGCGUGGGGAGCAAACAGG